UGGGAAUAUUGGACAAUGGGCGAAAGCCUGAUCCAGCCACGCCGCGUGAAUGAUGAAGGCCUUCGGGUCGUAAAGUUCUUUUAGUGGGGACGAAGGGCAACUUGACGGUACCCACAGAAAAAGCACCGGCUAACUCUGUGCCAGCAGCCGCGGUAAUACAGAGGGUGCAAGCGUUGCUCGGAAUUAUUGGGCGUAAAGCGCGUGUAGGCGGUUUCCUAAGUCUGGUGUGAAAUCCCGGGGCUUAACCCCGGAACUGCAUUGGAUACUGGGAAGCUAGAGGACGAGAGAGGAUGGUGGAAUUCCUGGUGUAGGGGUGAGAUCCGUAGAUAUCAGGAGGAACAUCGGUGGCGAAGGCGGCCAUCUGGCUCGUACCUGACGCUGAGACGCGAAAGCGUGGGUAGCAAAC
rnacentral:rRNA from 1 species